GGAUGGUUGGCUGAGAGGCUGAAAGCAACGGUUUGCUAAACCGUCGGUCGGGAAAACCCCCGGCCCGUGGGUUCGAAUCCCACACCAUCCGCCA
rnacentral:tRNA from 1 species